rnacentral:rRNA from 1 species
CCUACGUGUGGCAGCAGUGGGGAAUAUUGCACAAUGGGCGUAACCCUGAUGCAGCAACGCCGCGUGAGUGAGGAAGUCUCUCUGUAUGUAAAGCUCUUUCUGUAGGGAAGUAAAUUACGGUACCUGACCAAGUAGCCCCGGAUAACUACGUGCCAGCAGCCGCGGUAAGAUGCAGGGGGCAGGCGUUAUCCGGAUUUACUGGGUGUAAAGGGAGUGUAGACGGUAGGGCAAGUCUGGAGUGAAAGGCGGGGGCUCAACCCCCGGACUGCUGUGGAAACUGCCAGGCUGGAGUGCAGGAGAGGUAAGUGGAAUUCGUGGUGUAGCGGUGAAAUGCGUAGAUAUUAGGAGGAACACCAGUGGCGAAGGCAGCUUACUGGACUGUAACUGACGUUGAGGCUCGAAGGCGUGGGGAGCGAACAGGAUUAGAUACCCUUGUAGUC